ACACCAGAUUCGCUGCAGCUUAAGACUAGCCUCACAAAUCCUUUUUCUAAUUAAUUAAAACUUUACAGGAGAUAAACAAUGAUUUUUACCAGUCUGCACAGAGAGAGAGAGAGAGAGAGAGAGAGAGAGAGAGAGAGAGAGAGGAAAGCACUGCCUGAGGCAGAGUGGGGAAGGUGAGGUGCUCAGAGAGGCCAGAGAAAGACCCACCCAUUGCAGCGACACUGAAAAGUUCAGGCGGCUGCUUGUCACCAUCAGCGAAGAGUGCAAGACAGAUUAAUCCAAAGAGAAUAGCAGUUAACAUCCCGGAGUGCCAAACCCAUUUUUAGCUGAAAGGGACUUUACCGAGAGGAACUUUACUGAGAGGACCACUAACUCCCUACAUCUUAGAAGGGACUCUAACCCUCCUAAGUUGGGCCUCUAACCCAAGAAUGCCUUAACCAUCUGGGAAUGCAGCAGUUGGUUUCAGCCUUAUUUCACCCAGCUCCUAUUUAAGAUGGAGUUGCUCUUGUUCAAACGCCUCUGACAAAACCACUGUGCUUUGGAGAGAACAACAUGGCGGUGGAUGGUUGUGGUAUUAUGCAAUAACAACACAAAAUG
rnacentral:lncRNA from 1 species